UGUUUUCGGGAGGAACACCGGAUUGGGUCGCGGGAGGUAAAGCCGGAGGUUCAGACGGGCUCUCCGGAGGAGGUUCAGACGGGCUCUCCGGCGGUGGUUCAGACGGGCUCUCCGGAGGAGGUUCAGACGGGCUCUCCGGAGGAGGUUCAGACGGGCUCUCCGGCGGAGGUUCAGACUGGCUCUCCGGAGGAGGUUCAGACGGGCUCUCCGGAGGAGGUUCAGACGGGCUCUCCGGCGGAGGUUCAGAAGGCGGAGGUUCAGACGGGCUCUCCGGCGGAGAUUCAACUGGUGCCUCCGCCGGUGACGACAUAGCAAAACGAUAAAAGCUACAGAGAAAGUUUAGAGAAGAAGAUAAGGCUGCAAAUGAAAGAUGGAG
rnacentral:lncRNA from 1 species